rnacentral:misc_RNA from 1 species
GAACGCAAAUUGCACUCUCUUCGGAGAGUAUGCCUGUUUGAGGGUCAGUAUUAAUAAAAAUCGGCGUGUUGCAUUUUUGUGAUGCUCCGGAGUUUGGGUUAUCUUAUAACGAUACCUUUCGAGGUGUUUUUAAGAGGCUUAAAAUUGACAUCAUUUUUGCGCAUUUUAGACGUACAUAAAUUUUUUUAUUUCGUUUAUUCUAAUGCCAAAAUCUAUUAGAUGCGACCAUAUCGUGUGGUUCCGUGUCUAUAAAUUUUUUCAUGAUUUGACCUCAAAUCAGGUAGGAACACCCGCUGAACUUAAG